UCUCCGUAGGUGAACCUGCGGAGGGAUCGGUACUGAGGGAGGGCUCACGCCCGACCUCCCACCCUUUGUGAACACAACUUGUUGCUUCGGGGGCGACCCUGCCGUUUCGACGGCGAGCGCCCCCGGAGGCCUUCAAACACUGCAUCUUUGCGUCGGAGUUUAAGUAAAUUAAACAAAGCUUUCAACAACGGAUCUCUUGGUUCCAGCAUCGAUGAAGAACGCAGC
rnacentral:misc_RNA from 1 species